AUGCAAACAUUGUAGACGUGAUAAAACUGGAACAAUAAAGAGGAUUAACAUGGAACCCUGCAAAAGGAUGACGAGCAAAAUUUGUGAAGCAUUCGCUACUUUU